rnacentral:tRNA from 1 species
GCCAACGUACCGAAAUGGUUAUAACGGCGCUGUCUUGAAAACAGAUGUGCUAUGGAGAACAUGGCUUGUGGGUUCAAAUCCUACCGUUGGCG